UUCUGAACGAGCACAAUAUGCACCAUCACCGAGCACUCAAUCGGUGACGUCUGAGUCUUAAGGUCAGUCAAAAAUGUGGUGUCUAUAGAAAUUUAUUUAGAACAUCCAAACUAGGCCUAAAUUCGAGCAUGUCUGAAUACUAUCUCAUUAGCCUAAUUUCAAAAGCAGCACUCAAUAUAGCUCGGAAAGCUAAUCUUUAUUCUCAAAAUUUAAUAAGUUAAUUUCUGGUUACAAAAUACUUGAUUGUUUACAUUUUUCAAUUAUAAAAUCCAAGUAACAUCUAACAUAAGCCCAAAAUUGUUGAUUUGUUGAAAAGAAAAUUUUAUAGUACACUAUAUGCCAAAUUAUGAUUUUGUGGUCUUUUGGUUAAUUCCUAUGUUAUGACUUGGGCAUGACUGGUGUUUGUGACCUAUUGUGAGUAGGGAAAUGAUAUUGAAGUCUGUUUUUUAGACUUAUUUUUUAGAUGCAAUGAUGUAUGGAAGAGAUGAUUGGUGAUGAUUAGACACUAUUGUGAUUAUUAUUUUGUUGGUUAUGACUUAUAAUGAUCAUUAUGGUUAUAAUAAAAAAUGACUUUGGAUAUAUUUUUAUAUGGUGUUUGGUUGUGACAUUAUUUUUUUGAGUUACGAUUGAAAAUGAUUUAGUUAGGGCAUUUAUGGUAACUAAUAUGAAAAAUGUAUAUAUGGUAAGGCUCUGUAUUCUAGAAUGAUCCCAUUGUAAGUACCACUACUAUUGUAGAUGGUUCAAAUGUUAGAGAUUGUUGGUUCAGAUGUUGUCUAAUUGUGCACAUAAUGUAAUUUUAGAGGUUCAGUUGUACUAUGAUGAUGUGCGGGGGCUGGUUUAUAUUUGUGUUUUUGGUUAGGGUUGGAAUGUGUGGUGGUUUGGAGGUUGGUCCCUUACAAUUGUAAUUUAGUCAAAAUGUCAAUUGUAAAUUAGUAUAAAGCGCAAGGGUUGGUGGUGGCUGCAUGUUGUGACUUUAAAUCUCAGAUGUGGGUUCAUGGAUUUUGUUUCAGCAGCGCUGCAGCAGAGAUUCUUGAGUUAGCGGAUGAAUUUUAGCGGCUUGAUCAUUUGAAGGAAUAAGUUCAUGCAUUGCAAAAAAGAUUUUUUUUCCGUCAUGUUGAUGCAGGGGAGAGGAGACAGUACUUUCUUUUGUGGUGAACUCAUAAUUUUUUUUUGCUAUUGCUUUAAUGCUGCUUAUUUCUUUAGCUAAUGUGGCAGAUUUUGAAUUGCAUUGGUUCUGACUUUGGGAUUGAGCAUGUCUAAUUUAAAUCUUGAUUCUUCAUGUGUAGAUUUUGUGGUGUUGAAUAUAUUUUUUUUGGCAGAUGUUGGGAGUCAUUUAUACUAGUGUUUCUUGAGGGAGGCUUGAAUUGGAAGUGUUUUUGGGUCAUCUCACUUAUGAGAUAGAUUUCUAGAGUUUGCUUCUGACACGCCAUGUUUGCUAAAGUGUCACAAUGCCACAAUAAGGGUCUCCAAUUAACAAGUGCUGGGUAUCCUGGAAAUAUUGAAGUUCCUCUAAGGCUCGUUCGGGAAAAAUAUUUCUACUAAGAAAUAAAAAAAUUAGUUGGAACUGAAUCUACUCCUAUGGUAUCACCACGCUUCGCAUGCAACUCUAAUGAAUGGGCGAUGGUGCUAAAGGCAUAUGCUGUGGAGGAAUGUAUGGUUCGUUUGAAGAAGCUAAUGCUGCUAUGGCUGAUAAACAUGCCACCUUGUAGACUAAGGAUGAAAUUAAGUCCUAAUAUAAAGGGAUGGUUUUGUCGAGUAUUGCCAAUCCAAACUUGGGGUAAAGGAAACCAUUUUAUAUGUUGAGUUUGAGAUCCUAUGUGAUGAAAACUGAUUUGCGCUCCAUUGAUGCAAUGUGUAUAUGUCUGUUUAGUGUCAUCGGUUAUGCUAACUAAAGCUGGGAUUGUUAAAGCUGUGCUCCAUCCUGGUGGAAUUAUGUGUUGUUCAAUAUAUGAUUUACUGGCUCUUGUAUCUAUGAUGGCAUCUAUAUUAAGGGUUUUUUCUGCGAAUUUAAUGACAUAAGAAAUCUCAACUAAAUUUGACUUCGGUAUAACAGGGUAAUGAAAUGGUAAAUAUGUAUUAUCUGACAGUGUUUGGGAGUAUUGACUAAGGGUUUGAGAAUCAACUAGGUUGAAUUCAUAUGUUUUUCAACAAGUUUAUCUUUUACGGGGUAUUUAUUAUGAAAUUGUUCUAACUGCUGUCCAAGCUGUUUAUUUUCUACUUCUAAACAUUCUAUGUCAAAACUAGCCUUAGUUUCUAUCUCACGUAUUUGAAGUUUAAGUUCUCUUACUUUUACCUCUAAUUCUCUAAUAGUUAAGUGUAAUUCUCUGUUUUCUAUACUACAAUCUUCUAGUAUUUUUUCGUUAGUUUCUAAUGUUAUCUUGUGAGUCAAAUUUAAUUUUUCUAGACAAAUUAUAUAAUAGGUUAUACUACAUAAUAAACAUUAGGCUCUUUUGCUUUUAGCGGGAAACUAAUUGCAAUAACUGCAUCUAAUGGUAUCAAAUUCUAGUCCUAUUUAAAAAUUAUGCUGACAUUCAGCAUCUGCAUUAUAUUCCAUAAUAAAGAAAUUGUUAUGAGAAGGGGGUAUUUUUAUUUCUUGGUUAAGUUGUCCUAAAAGAUUGUCUAUAUCUUUAUCACUUUUUGAAUCACUAUCUGAACUUAUGGCCUCUAUUUGGUAUUCAUAAUCACUGACUAUGCUAUAGACUUCUAAAUCAUCGCUAGUUAUCCUAACUAUAUCUUCUUCUAAAUCUUUUAUAAUAUGUAGUCUUUCUAUCUGUUUAUUAGUAUUAGGCCUCUGUCUUUUGGGGCAGGUUUUUGCAAAAUGAUUGAG